rnacentral:rRNA from 1 species
UACGGAGGGGGCUAGCGUUGUUCGGAAUUACUGGGCGUAAAGCGCGCGUAGGCGGAUCUGCAAGUCGGGGGUGAAAUCCCGAGGCUCAACCUCGGAACUGCCUUCGAUACUGCGGGUCUCGAGUCCGGGAGAGGUGAGUGGAAUUCCUAGUGUAGAGGUGAAAUUCGUAGAUAUUAGGAAGAACACCAGUGGCGAAGGCGGCUCACUGGCCCGGUACUGACGCUGAGGCGCGAAAGCGUGGGGAGCAAACAGG